GAUGUACUCCCUCCGUCCGAAAAUACUUGUCAUCGAAAUGGAUAAAAAGGGACGUAUCUAGAACUAAAAUACGUCUAGAUACAUCUCCUUUUAUCCAUUUUGAUGACAAGUAUUUCCGGACAGAGGGAGUAUGUA
rnacentral:pre_miRNA from 1 species